UACAGAGGUCUCAAGCGUUGUUCGGAAUCACUGGGCGUAAAGGGUGCGUAGGCUGCGGUGCAAGUCAGAUGUGAAAUCCCGGGGCUCAACCUCGGAAUUGCAUCCGAUACUGCAUUGCUUGAGGACUGGAGAGGAGUCUGGAAUUCAUGGUGGAGCAGUGAAAUGCGUAGAUAUCAUGAGGAACACUAGUGGCGUAGGCGAGACUCUGGACAGUUCCUGACGCUGAGGCACGAAGGCCAGGGGAGCAAACGGG
rnacentral:rRNA from 1 species